rnacentral:lncRNA from 1 species
UUAAUAUAUCAAUGUUGUUUUCAAACCAAAGCUAGAAAACAUGUAACGGGAAGAUGAUUCGAUAUAAUCUAAUAUUGAAAUUUUUCUAAUUAGAUAAAAGAAGAUGAGGUCUGAGUGCCAAUGAGACAACUCGCCUUUCAAGUCAUCAAUUGUAAAAGUAAACCCUCAUAGGUCAAAGUACGGCCUUCAACACGGAACAUUUGCUGUCACAUUUCAUGAAGCUAUAAAGGGCCACACAAUUUAUUUUGUAAAACCAUUCAAACGGAAAAAUCAACGGUCUAAUCUAUAUGAAAAAAGAGAACUGAGAG